CACCCAAUAUAAAACAAAUAAAUAAAAAUAUAACUAAAAUGGCUCAAUGUGGAGACAGCUAGCACCAAAACAACAACCACAAUAAAAGGACAGCUCAACACAAAGCUCCCACCAUUCAGUGGUCCUCAGAAGGUAAAAUGUAGCCACAACCCUGUGAUCACAUAUAUUGUUUCCACAACUAGAACUUUGUGAUCACAAGAUUAUAAGGUAGCAACCUUAUUGUGUCAAGGCACACCUUCCAGACAACAAUCUCAAUACACCAUCAAAAUUAUUUGGCACACAUUUUCUGACCAACACAUGGCAUAAAAGACAAUUCUGACUCAAACAAAUUGAUGCCAUGAAACCGUAUAUACAUGGCAGAUUUUUAACAUCAAUGCCUGAACCACUAUCAAAUCAUAAAACAACAACAAUAAGGUGGAAAAUGUUAACAUUAUUGUUAGAGCAGAUUUUAAGCAUGCGAAUUAUUUCAUACAAUUUUUCAUGCCAAUUGGGAAGCAAAUGAAUUAUCAUAUUUCACAUACAAGGAUUUAGCUCCUCUAGAGGGCAAAGUUCACUUCAGAAGAAAAGGCAAGGAAUUUUAAGCAUAGAUGAGAAUAGUUGAUAUUACAUUUACAUGUAUAAUCAUGGAUUUGUUAAAAUCAACUCCCUUAAUUUUAGCAUUUAUGGUUGAGCUGUCUCACUUUUCCCUCCAGUGAAUCUGAUAGGUUCUUUAUCCAAGAACCUAUGAGAAACACACUUCUAACUCACACAGAACCCACAUGUGACUGAAUGGUCUUUAUUAUUCAAUAGCAGUCAAAGAAUACAGCAAGUAGAGAGCUUAACCCCCCCUAUCAGGACAAGCAAGUUCCUGAACAAACAAAAGAAUUCACUAACUACUCUCAACUACAACUAAUCUCCCUUUUAUACAAGAUACCCUCAACCGACCCACAUAACUGCCUUGGCAGUUAGGUUGUGUAACUGUCUUUCUCCUACUAUACACAAGUAGAGGUCUAACAGAAUCACUUUCACUUUCACUUUAGAGGAAUUAAAUCUACAUGUAGGCUUGAAUCACUGCCAACGGAUAGCCUAAAAAGCUAGAAUGCCUGGAAUUUUUGCCUUUAAAAUUUUAAUUCACUCAAAAGUUUGUCCCUUAAAUUUAUUACCUC
rnacentral:lncRNA from 1 species